AUUGAACGCUGGCGGCAUGCCUUACACAUGCAAGUCGAACGGUAACGCGGGGCAACCUGGCGACGAGUGGCGAACGGGUGAGUAAAGCAUCGGAACGUGCCCAGAAGUGGGGGAUAACUACUCGAAAGAGUGGCUAAUACCGCAUGAGACCUGAGGGUGAAAGCGGGGGCUCGCAAGACCUCGCGCUUUUGGAGCGGCCGAUGUCAGAUUAGGUAGUUGGUGGGGUAAAGGCCCACCAAGCCGACGAUCUGUAGCUGGUCUGAGAGGACGACCAGCCACACUGGGACUGAGACACGGCCCAGACUCCUACGGGAGGCAGCAGUGGGGAAUUUUGGACAAUGGGGGCAACCCUGAUCCAGCCAUGCCGCGUGCGGGAAGAAGGCCUUCGGGUUGUAAACCGCUUUUGUCAGGGAAGAAAUCUUCUGGGUUAAUACCCUGGGAGGAUGACGGUACCUGAAGAAUAAGCACCGGCUAACUACGUG
rnacentral:rRNA from 1 species